rnacentral:rRNA from 1 species
CCUACGGGGGGCAGCAGUGAGGAAUAUUGGUCAAUGGACGAGAGUCUGAACCAGCCAAGUAGCGUGAAGGAUGACUGCCCUAUGGGUUGUAAACUUCUUUUAUAUGGGAAUAAAAUGUUCCACGUGUGGGAUUUUGUAUGUACCAUAUGAAUAAGGAUCGGCUAACUCCGUGCCAGCAGCCGCGGUAAUACGGAGGAUCCGAGCGUUAUCCGGAUUUAUUGGGUUUAAAGGGAGCGUAGGUGGAUUGUUAAGUCAGUUGUGAAAGUUUGCGGCUCAACCGUAAAAUUGCAGUUGAAACUGGCAGUCUUGAGUACAGUAGAGGUGGGCGGAAUUCGUGGUGUAGCGGUGAAAUGCUUAGAUAUCACGAAGAACUCCGAUUGCGAAGGCAGUUCACUGCACUGCAACUGACACUGAGGCUCGAAAGUGUGGGUAUCAAACAGGAUUAGAUACCCUAGUAGUC